rnacentral:rRNA from 1 species
GAUGAACGCUGGCGGCGUGCUUAACACAUGCAAGUCGAACGAUGAAGCCGGAGCUUGCUCUGGUGGAUUAGUGGCGAACGGGUGAGUAACACGUGAGUAACCUGCCCUUGACUCUGGGAUAAGCGCUGGAAACGGCGUCUAAUACCGGAUACGAGCUUCCACCGCAUGGUGAGUUGCUGGAAAGAAUUUCGGUCAAGGAUGGACUCGCGGCCUGUCAGCUUGUUGGUGAGGUAACGGCUCACCAAGGCGACGACGGGUAGCCGGCCUGAGAGGGUAACCGGCCACACUGGGACUGAGACACGGCCCAGACUCCUACGGGAGGCAGCAGUGGGGGAUAUUGCACAAUGGGCGCAAGCCUGAUGCAGCAACGCCGCGUGAGGGACGAAGGCCUUCGGGUCGUAAACCUCUUUUAGCAGGGAAGAAGCGAAAGUGACGGUACCUGCAGAAAAAGCACCGGCUAACUACGUGCCAGCCGCCGCCGUAA